rnacentral:rRNA from 1 species
UACGAGGGGGGCGAGCGUUGUUCGGAUUCACUGGGCGUAAAGGGUGCGUAGGUGGUCGGAUAAGUCUGAUGUGAAAUCUCCGAGCUCAACUCGGAAAUGGCAUUGGAUACUAUUUGGCUGGAGGGUUGGAGGGGGGACUGGAAUUCUUGGUGUAGCAGUGAAAUGCGUAGAUAUCAAGAGGAACACCAGUGGCGAAGGCGAGUCCCUGGACGACUCCUGACACUGAGGCACGAAAGCUAGGGGAGCAAACAGG